rnacentral:lncRNA from 1 species
AUGUCUCUCAGUAGUGCAGAUCAUUGACCCAUGAUCAGGUAUGGAGUUCUGAACUUAGAUUAGAAGUAGAUGUGAUCUACUGCUCAUAUGCAUGCAUGCUGAUAUUAUCUUCAGAUUAUUUCAGAUUUUAUAUGCAACAUAACAUGUCAUAGAUCUUAGAGUAGGUUGAUUUGAUGAUUAGAUCAUAUGCAUAUUAGAUUAAUUUAAUUAAUCUAGUUGU